rnacentral:rRNA from 1 species
CCUACGGGGAGCAGCAGUGGGGAAUAUUGGACAAUGGGGGGAACCCUGAUCCAGCCAUGCCGCGUGUGUGAAGAAGGCCCUCGGGUUGUAAAGCACUUUCAGUGAGGAAGAACGCCUGGUGGUUAAUACCCAUCAGGAAAGACAUCACUCACAGAAGAAGCACCGGCUAACUCCGUGCCAGCAGCCGCGGUAAUACGGAGGGUGCGAGCGUUAAUCGGAAUUACUGGGCGUAAAGCGCGCGUAGGUGGCUUGAUAAGCCGGUUGUGAAAGCCCCGGGCUCAACCUGGGAACGGCAUCCGGAACUGUCAAGCUAGAGUGCAGGAGAGGAAGGUAGAAUUCCCGGUGUAGCGGUGAAAUGCGUAGAGAUCGGGAGGAAUAUCAGUGGCGAAGGCGGCCUUCUGGACUGACACUGACACUGAGGUGCGAAAGCGUGGGUAGCAAACAGGAUUAGCUACCCGUGUAGUC